CAAUUCAACGGGCUACGUGCAAAAACAGUUGAGGCAGAAGAAGAGACACGAAAUUUCGUCGAGAGUAUUAAAUUGCAACAAAACCAUCGAUGAAACCAACUAUUGAGCAAGAUGAGAUGUUUCCAGAAGGUGUCAACCCACCAGGCUGGGAAUUAGAAGAGUCUGGGACUGCAAGUUUAAUUGAAGUUGCAAGUGAAAGGACAGUUCACAGUGAUUUUUUCAAUGAUCAGUAUAUCGGAACAAGCACCAGGAGCGGAUCCAGAGCAAACUUGAAGGAGGGGCAGUUGGUAGUGGGGACGCUGAAAAAGUUUCAAAAAUUGACGACGAUGUAAACAACAAUUUCAGAUCCAUUUUCGGAAUAAACAAGGAGAAAAAGAUAAAGAAACCUCUCUAAAUAUCCCUGGGUCUGUGUUAAAAUUAAAGGUUCCCGAAAGAAGUUAAAGAGUCCCAACAGCUGGAUAUGUUUGAAACGAAACUGAAUCUGUAGAUAACUUUGUGAUGCAGUUGUAGAUUUUGUAAAACAUUUAUAACACAUUCAGGCUUUUUUGAUAACUAUUUUAUCUAAUAAUGUAUAACGUGGCUAGGCUACAUCUCCUUGCUAACUUUGAACAAAUUAUCUGUUAUCACUAUAUUUAUAUAAUUCUUCCUGUAAUGUAUGUUUGUAUAACUGCUUCCUGCAGAUCAAUAUGAAACUAAUUGUCCCCUCAAUGAUUGGCUAAUAUGAACAAUAGUUCUUCCCGCUUUAACGGAAUACGGAUUACGAUGCUUGCUUUGGCUGGCCUAGCUGCGGUAGUGGACGACAUUUGAAACUGCGAGCAAAAAGCUAUCGGGAAUGGCAAGAAGAUUUAAUUACUGGAAUUGAAUGAUGAUUAUGAAAGUAUUUCCUUUCGCUAUUUGAAAUAUUUGUCGCAGAAACCAAACAGGGCGCCAUAUUUUUCUAGCCACAGCUUUACUACAACGGGAACACAGGCAUUUGAUUCAAAAGCUCUGGAAUAAAAGUAGUUUCUGAUUGGUUUAAAUCGUUUAGUUAUCGAUCAAGCUCAACGGUGCGCGAAUUUCACCCCCGUGAAAAUAAAGCUGAGCACAAUAGGGGACAGGCUGCCUUUAAUAGAGUCGAACGUGAAUACAUACCCCGUGCACGCUGCUUAUGAGCCGCUUGACAAUUCUUUCUCUGAUUUCUUGCCCUAUGGGGAAAACACAUUCAUGAAUAGAUAUUAGAUUCUCAGUAAACAGUCUAUAAAAAAUUGAAAAAAUUAAAACCAUGUUUUUCACUAAAGGUAAAGGCGUUUCAGAAAUCACUGGGAAUGAUGUCUUAUUAGUGAUCCACAGUCAGUUGCUGAGAUUCUGAAUACCCAUUUUGUUAGCAUUGGUCAAACUACAAAUUCAGUCCAUUAAUGCUGACUGAGAAUUCAACAAUAACUGAAAUCACAGGAUACUUUAAAGAGCAUUCAAGCAUAAAAACAAUCAACAACUUCCAAACAAAUAACUCAACCUUAAGCUUUAAACCGAUCACCAAAGAAAGCCUUAAGACAAAUAAUCGUGAAGCUAAAUCACAAAAAAGCACACGGGUACGACAUGAUAAAUGCAAAAUUCCUAAAGAUCUCAGUUGAUAUCAUCCUACAACCCCUCUUGAACACCAUAAAUAAAUGCAUUAUUCAAGGAACUUUUCCAAACUUUUUAAAAAAGGCUAUAGUUUCACCUGUCUAUAAGAAAAAUUAUCUUAUGGAUUUGUCAAAAGCCUUCGACUGUCUACCAAAAAACCUACUUUUAGCAAAACUACAUGCCUAUGGUGUAGAUAGAAAUUCUCUUUUACUUAUACAAAACUACCUGUCUAAUAGACAGCAAAGGGUCAAAGUGAAAGGCCAUUGCAGCUCCUGGGGUAAACUUGGACAAGGAGUAACACAGGGUUCAAUACUUGGACCUCUACUUUUCAAUAUUUUCCUAAAUAAUAUUUAUACAGCCUUAGUGAAGGGUCUUUAUGUAAUUUUGCUGAUGACAACACGAUAUCUGUCAUUGCAACAAAUACUGAUGAACUAUUGCAACUUGUAAAAAUUAACACCAAAAAAUGUCUUGAUUGGUUUAAAUCUAAUGAAAUGAUUGCAAAUCCCUCUAAAUUUCAAGCUAUCACAAUCGGCAGCAAAGAUAAAUGCAUCAAUGAGUUUGAAAUUGACCAAAAAUUUGCAUUGAAUAUAGAGAACAACGUUACUUUGCUUGGUGUUCAGAUUGAUGAAAAUUUGUUUGACGCUCAUAUCGAUAAGAUCUGUAAAAGAGCAGCUAAACAGUUAAAUUUUUUAAAAAGGCUGGCAAGAUUUAUGGGCGACAGAGAACAAAAAGAUAAUUAUGAAUUGAUUUAUACUAUGUCACUUCAAUUAUUGUCUAUUGAUAUGGAUGCUAUGUGGUAAAGGAAGUCAGGAUAAGCUAGAGAAAAUUAACGAGAGGGCAUAAAGACUAGCCUAUUCGGGCUAUUCAUCUUCUUACAAAGAUUUACUUGCUAACUCAAAAGAAACUACCAUACAUGUCCAAUCAGUUAGAAUUUUAGCGCUCGAAGUUUAUAAAACACUUAACAACCUUAAUCCUGCUUUCGUGAAAGACUAUUUUGUACCCCAAACAACAGGUCAUAACCUUCGACUCAAAAACCCCCUUGACAUUCCAAAAGCCAGAACUACCAAUAAUGGUAUCAGAUCAUUAAGUUUUCAAGGGCCUAAAAUCUGGAAUUCACUCCCGGGAUCAAUAAAGACAGCACAAAAUACUAGACAAUUUAAGAAUUUGAUCAAAAUUUGGGUCCUUUAAAACAAGUGCGCAUGCUCAUUUUGCAGUAAAUGAACUGUCUUAUGCAAUCCUUGAAAUUGCUUCAUGUUAGUCUUAAUUAGUGUAUAUUCACUAUUGUAGCAACUAACAUUAAAUAAUCUACAAUUUAAUACAAUACAAUACAAUAUAAUACAAUACAAUACAAUACAAUACAAUACAAUACAAUACAAUACAAUACAAUACAAUACAAUACAAUACAAUACAAUACAAUACAACUUUUUCACUUCUCAAGGACUCUACUCAUAUCGCUGGCAAAAGAAUGCCCGAAGGUACUACGACUGCAUCAGCCUAGAUGUUGGAAAAAGUAAAUAUCUUGUCUAAAAGUAAAUAGUUCAGGCUAACUGUUCUUUAUUUUUUCGAAAAUCUUAAGCUCGAUUGAUCUUAUUCUGUUCUUAAAUUAAUAGGGUUUAAGCAGUGCGAUUGCUGGCUUUUUCACUCUAGAAAGGUGUUCAGACCUCGCUUGCCAACAAAGUGAGUGAGUUAACCUUCAUUUUCCGUCAAUCGAAAAAGCAUCCAUACGUGGCUAAAAUAAAAACCCUCGUUUUUGAGAUGAAACGUUGUUCAAAAUUGUAUUUUACAGCAGCUUAGCCUGCAUUUGUUCUUAGUUUGUUUUUUAACUUUUGACCAAUUCUGAGGCUCGUGUUCUUAUAAAUGUGUUCGUGACCGGGGGACAUACUUCUAAAGUGUGACGAAGUGUACAAAAGAACCAACCUGAACUUAUGUAGUGAAGAGAUCAAGAAAAGGUGGGCGAACCCCGGCCACAACAUCAGACACGAGGGCCCGGCGAAAAAGGCGAUGCAGAAGUAAAGACAUGGCGAGCAGGAAGAAACCUCGUGGCAGGCCAGUGAAGAGCCUGGCAUCGAUCGCGAAGGAAGAAAUGGCGAGCAGAGGAGCGACUGCAGAUGAUGCUGAAAAUAGAGCAACCUAGCGAGAAAUUGCAGAAACCAGCUACAGGGCCCACGCCACCGAUUCUAAAGUGGGGUUACCUAUUUAAUACUUAGAAGGGGGAUUUUGUACCUAUAGUUAGCAAGAAAAGUGGGGGGGGGGUGGGCCACGGCAACAUAGCAACAAUCGUCAAUAUCGAUUUUUUAUCUAAUCCGGGAUUAUUUUAAAAUUGGCGAUCGUUGCAAGUUGCUAGCAUGGACAGGUUGCGAAUGACUAACACGCUAAACUUUUAGAAUAACUUUACCAUUCGAAUUUCGCUUAACCGUUAUGUUCAGCGUCCUAUAUCUUAAUCUUGCUAUCUUGCAUUGGCUUUCACGCUUACCAUUACCUUUAAACAAGAGAAGGAUAUUUUCACCGAGAGGAAGCCGUUUCUGCGUUCCAAACCCCUGUCAAUGCAGUUUUCUGCGUUCAAUACCCUCGUCUACGCGGUUUUUUGCGGUUUACUCCAAAUUUCCACACUUAAAACACGUGUCGCCACACCCAUAUAUCAGUGCAUAUAUAGUGAAUUCUAAUUUCCGUAUUUCCUCUAAAAAACGUUGCGGCGUUUAUUACAUUAUUGGAUGCGGCGUUCAAUAGAGGGCGGCAUUCAUCAGAGGGCGGCGCUCAAUACAAAAUGAAAAGUUUGUCAAAUUAUUAAUGACAAGGAAAAUGCGAUGAAAAAAGAUAAAAAGUAUGUGAAGUCAAGUCAAGGAAUGUCAAUAUCCUUGUCUCCGUCAGAGUCGUCCUAUAUGACGUUACAACUCUCAUGGCUUUCGAUUAGUAAGCGUAUAAACUAUUCGUUACUUCUUGUUUGGUGUGUUUUCUAAUGAACGCCGCUUUUCAAGAUGCGGCGUUCAAUAGAGAGCGGCGUUUAUCAGAGGGCGGCGUUCAUUAGAGGAAAUACGGUAUGUGCAAGAGGCUAGGUAUAUUACUCCAGCUAGAAAUCAUCACAACCAAGCCUAUAAAAUUGCCCCAAAGUAGUUUCAUAUACAUUAGCAUUUGGUAUUUGAUUACCUUUUAGGCGUGAUAAAUUUCGUAGUUUCUUAUUAAAGGCCAAACUCGGGGUUUGCUCUAAUGAAAAUGAUUUCUAAUCAGUCUUUUGGUAUUUGUACCAAUGCAGGGAAAUUGACUGUGCUUACACGGCCAAUCGAUAACUGUAUGCUAUGACCAUCCAAACGACAGCUACAACCCCGCCAAAGAACUUUGAAACUCCUUUUCGCUUUGCUAUGCUGAAAAGUCAACUUGUCUCCAGUAAAAAAGGCCGACACCACAUCCCCUUCCCGACAAAAAUAUGUUUAUUGUAGAGUAAAAUAUCAUAGCUUACUGAAAGGAAUCAAUUUGGUCCUUGAUUUUGCAUAAAACAACAUUUUUGUCGGGGGGGGGGGGGGGGAGGGGGGAUGCAGUAAAGAAUGUGUAAAAGUUUCGCGUAUCUGGACUUUUGGCAAGCAUUUUAUUGGCGUUCUGCAACAGUUGCUCUGGGACAAUUAUGGGGACAGUUGAAAUGAAAUUUCAAGCUGAGUUUAGUUUCUGCAUGGUUACACGAUGAUGUGUUUGCAAAGACAGCUUCUUAGUAAAUGCAAAUUUUGGAGAUCACAGAUUAAAAACACACCCUUCUCUAUAUUAAAAGUUGUAAUUGAUUUCUUACUUCCCUUGUUCAUGUGCAUUCAAAAACUUGCCAGAGCAUGUGUCGUAACCGAACAUAAAAUCCAGCUAAUUCACAAGAUAGAGGACAGCACUGAAAACCCUGGGGGAGGGGGGGAGGUUGUAACCUGAACCAAAGAAUGAUGGGGGCGUGCCGAACAAAAAAUAGCAAAAUUAUCCAAUUUUAGGGAUUGGGAGAAAAAAUACCCAGGUUUAAGCUUUAUGAAAUCAACUGUAGGUAGCAUGGAAGAGACAGAAAAAACAGCGAACUACAACUCACAUAUUACGUUACGCUUAAGACAAGAAAGAUUUUGUGUAAACACAAAAUUAAGGUUUGUCGACCCAUUUCUAUGGGAAUCAAUGCAUUUUGGAGACCUAUAUUUAGGGAAUUUGAAGACUUCCAGCUCACCCAUUUGGGCGGCACAGACCCGUUCAGCUCCACAUAUAAGUAACCCCACCCCCAGCCCCAUACCCGGGGCUGUAAAUAGGUGAGAGUGAAAGAGUCGAGGAACCAGACCAUAAAUAUAGCUUUUUAAACAAAUGAGUAAAGCAGUUAAAUUCGGUUUAGAAGAACUAAUGUGGAAUUUUACUUACCUUUUAAAGCAAUUAUGGACA